GAUGAAGAACGUAGCGAAAUGCGAAAAGUAAUGUGAAUUGCAGAAUUCAGUGAAUCAUCGAAUCUUUGAACGCACAUUGCGCCCGCUGGUACUCCGGCGGGCACGCCUGUCCGAGCGUCAUUUCAACCCUCAGGCCCUCCUUCGGGAUGGGCCUGGUGUUGGGGCUCGGCCGCCAUCUCCGGCGGCCGUCCCCUAAAUACAGUGGCGGUCACGUCGCGACUCCUUUGCGUAGUAGAAACACCUCGCUCCGGAUAGCAACGCGGUCCACGCCGUAAAAUCCCCAAUUUUCAAUGGUUGACCUCGGAUCAGGUGGGAAUACCCGCUGAACUUAAGCAUAUCAAUAAGCGGAGGA
rnacentral:misc_RNA from 1 species